rnacentral:rRNA from 1 species
ACAAUGGAGAGUUUGAUCCUGGCUCAGGAUGAACGCUAGCGGCAGGCUUAAUACAUGCAAGUCGAACGAGAUUUCCCGGUUCGCUGGGGAUGAAAGUGGCGCACGGGUGCGUAACGCGUAUGCAACCUACCUUUAACUGGGAGAUAGCCCCGAGAAAUCGGGAUUAAUACCCCAUAACAUAACGAUCAGGCAUCUGGUUGUUAUCAAAGUUCCGGCGGUUAAAGAUGGGCAUGCGUGGCAUUAGCUAGUUGGUGAGGUAACGGCUCACCAAGGCUACGAUGCCUAGGGGACCUGAGAGGGUGAUCCCCCACACUGGUACUGAGACACGGACCAGACUCCUACGGGAGGCAGCAGUAAGGAAUAUUGGGCAAUGGACGCAAGUCUGACCCAGCCAUGCCGCGUGCAGGAUGACGGCCCUAUGGGUUGUAAACUGCUUUUGUACGGGAAGAACCCCUUCGAUUCUUCGGAGGCUGACGGUACUGUACGAAUAAGCAUCGGCUAACUCCGUGCCAGCAGCCGCGGUAAUACGGAGGAUGCAAGCGUUAUCCGGAUUUAUUGGGUUUAAAGGGUGCGCAGGCGGAAUGGUAAGUCAGUGGUGAAAUCUCCCGGCUCAACCGGGAAACUGCCGUUGAUACUGCCGUUCUAGAGUACAGUUGGGGUGGGCGGAAUGUGUCAUGUAGCGGUGAAAUGCUUAGAUAUGACACAGAACACCGAUCGCGAAGGCAGCUCACCAAGUUGUAACUGACGCUCAUGCACGAAAGCGUGGGGAUCAAACAGGAUUAGAUACCCUGGUAGUCCACGCCGUAAACGAUGAUCACUCGUUGUUGGCGAUACACAGUCAGCGACUGAGCGAAAGCAUUAAGUGAUCCACCUGGGGAGUACGACCGCAAGGUUGAAACUCAAAGGAAUUGACGGGGGCCCGCACAAGCGGUGGAGCAUGUGGUUUAAUUCGAUGAUACGCGAGGAACCUUACCUGGGCUUGAAAGAGGGACGAUCUUCCGUGAAAGCGGAAUUUCCUUCGGGACGUCCUUCUAGGUGCUGCAUGGUUGUCGUCAGCUCGUGCCGUGAGGUGUCGGGUUAAGUCCCAUAACGAGCGCAACCCCUAUUCUUAGUUGCCAGCAUGUAAUGAUGGGGACUCUAAGAAAACUGCCUACGCAAGUAGUGAGGAAGGUGGGGAUGACGUCAAAUCAGCACGGCCCUUAUGUCCAGGGCUACACACGUGCUACAAUGGUCGGUACAAUGGGCAGCUACCUGGUGACAGGAUGCUAAUCUCAAAAGCCGAUCUCAGUUCGGAUUGGAGUCUGCAACUCGACUCCAUGAAGCUGGAAUCGCUAGUAAUCGCGCAUCAGCCAUGGCGCGGUGAAUACGUUCCCGGGCCUUGUACACACCGCCCGUCAAGCCAUGGAAGCUGGGGGUGCCUGAAGUCCGUCACCGCAAGGAGCGGCCUAGGGUAAAACCAGUGACUGGGGCUAAGUCGUAACAAGGUAGCCGUACCGGAAGGUGUGGCUGGAAUACCUCCUUU